rnacentral:rRNA from 1 species
UACGUAGGGUCCGAGCGUUGUCCGGAAUUAUUGGGCGUAAAGAGCUCGUAGGCGGUUUGUCGCGUCUGCUGUGAAAUCCCGAGGCUCAACCUCGGGUCUGCAGUGGGUACGGGCAGACUGGAGUGCGGUAGGGGAGAAUGGAAUUCCUGGUGUAGCGGUGGAAUGCGCAGAUAUCAGGAGGAACACCGAUGGCGAAGGCAGUUCUCUGGGCCGUAACUGACGCUGAGGAGCGAAAGCGUGGGGAGCGAACGGG